rnacentral:pre_miRNA from 1 species
AAUAAGUGUAGUUUUGCACUAUUCACAUUCAACAUUUGACCGUUCGUCUUAUUUGAAAAUUUUUUAUGAUUAAUAUUUUUAUUACUAUUAGAUGAUAAAACAUUAAUAGUACUUUAUGUAUGACUAUUUUUUAAAUUUUUUUUAUAAUUUUUUUAAAUAAGACGAACGGUCAAACGUUAGACACGGAUAUUCACGGCUGCACUUAUU